rnacentral:rRNA from 1 species
CAAGUCGAGCGAUGAAGUUUCCUUCGGGAAACGGAUUAGCGGCGGACGGUGAGUAACACGUGGGCAACCUACCUCAUAGAGGGGAAUAGCCUUCCGAAAGGGAGAUUAAUACCGCAUAACAUUUUUGAUUGGCAUCAAUCGGAAAUCAAAGGAGCAAUCCGCUAUGAGAUGGGCCCGCGUCGCAUUAGUUAGUUGGUGGGGUAAAGGCCUACCAAGACGACGAUGCGUAGCCGACCUGAGAGGGUGAUCGGCCACAUUGGGACUGAGACACGGCCCAGACUCCUACGGGAGGCAGCAGUGGGGAAUAUUGCACAAUGGAGGAAACUCUGAUGCAGCAACGCCGCGUGAGCGAUGAAGGUCUUCGGAUCGUAAAGCUCUGUCUUUAGGGAUGAUAAUGACAGUACCUAAGGAGGAAGCCACGGCUAACUACGUGCCAGCAGCCGCGGUAAUACGUAGGUGGCGAGCGUUAUCCGGAAUUAUUGGGCGUAAAGGGAGCGUAGGCGGAUACUUAAGUGGGAUGUGAAAGACUUGGGCUCAACCCAAGGGCUGCAUUCCAAACUGAGUAUCUAGAGUGCAGGAGAGGAGAGUGGAAUUCCUAGUGUAGCGGUGAAAUGCGUAGAGAUUAGGAAGAACACCAGUGGCGAAGGCGACUCCCUGGACUGUAACUGACGCUGAGGCUCGAAAGCGUGGGGAGCAACAGGAUUAGAUACCCUGGUAGCCCACG